rnacentral:misc_RNA from 1 species
UUCGUCCAGAUAAACGCCCAUAUUCAGGGAAUUUGUCAACAGAGAAAUACACAUCGCCAUCAAGGACAUAAGCACAUCCAUUAGCAAGGAUCUUGGCUAUCAUAUCCUUUAUCUGUUCCAUGUGUUCAGACACUAGCGGUUCAACAGAUGGCGGCAGGCACUGAAGUUCAGCCAUAUCCUUUAGAAAUUCUCUAGAAAAGCGAGCACUCAGAGUUAAUGGGUCCUCUCCAUUUUCAUUUGCUCGUUUAAUAAUCUUGUCAUCGAUAUCAGUGAAGUUCCGCACAUACUUCACUUCAUACCCCAAAUACUUCAAAUAUCUGUGUAGCACAUCGAAGGCGACGUAGGCCCGGGCGUGGCCGAUAUGGCUGUAAUCGUACGGCGUGACGCCGCAGACGUACAUCCCGACCUUUCCCGGGACAAUCGGCUUGAACUCGAGCUUCUUCUUGGACUUCGAGUCGAAUAUCAUCAGCUUCGGCUUCGCCAUCGCAGCUGCAACAAGGCCUGAAUCUCGCUAGCAAGGGAACUCGAAACCCUAAUUUUAGCAGCGCCGG